UACGUAGGGUGCGAGCGUUAAUCGGAAUUACUGGGCGUAAAGCGUGCGCAGGCGGUUCGCCAAGUCAGGUGUGAAAUCCCCGGGCUUAACCUGGGAAUUGCGCUUGAAACUAGCGGGCUUGAGUGCGGCAGAGGGGGGUGGAAGUUCCACGUGUAGCAGUGAAAUGCGUAGAGAUGUGGAGGAACACCGGUGGCGAAGGCGGCAUCCUGGACCGACAUUGACGCUGAGGCGCGAAAGCCAGGGGAGCAAACGGG
rnacentral:rRNA from 1 species